rnacentral:rRNA from 1 species
UUUAUUGAGAGUUUGAUCUUGGCUCAGGACGAACGCUGGCGGCGUGCCUAAUACAUGCAAGUCGAGCGCGGGAAGCAAACCGAUUCCUUCGG